AGGCAAAGCCUAGGAGAUAACCAACAUAGCAUCACUGCCACCAUAGCCGAGAAACUAGUCAACCAGAGGAUAAUAACUUUACCUAGGAGAGCAGAAGGGUUAGCCAAGGCUGAGACCAGCAUAAAGAUACCCAUAAAAUUUAUCCUCAAAAUCAAAACCAGGUGGGCUGUUCUAAAAUCCAAGCAGCCAAGAGAUGCAACAGAACCAUGGAG
rnacentral:misc_RNA from 1 species